ensembl:misc_RNA Metazoa_SRP Metazoan signal recognition particle RNA
GCUGGGCAUGGUGGUAUGUGCCUGUGGUCCCAGCUACUCCAGAGGCUGAGGCAGGAGGAUCACUUGAUCCCAGGAGUUCCAUGCUGAUCAUGCGUCCUCAUUAAGUUCAUCAACCACGUGGUGACCUCUUAGGAGCUGGGGACCACCAGGUUGCAAAGCAGUCCAGUUUGGAAGCAGAGCAGGUCAAAGCUCUUUAACCUGAUCAGUAGUGAGAGCGCAUCUGUGAAGAGACACUGCACUCCGGCCUGGGCAACAUAGCAAGACCCUACCUCUU